rnacentral:lncRNA from 1 species
UCCUGUAACUGCAAUUACAGAUGAUUGCGAGCUGCUGUCUUAGCAUUACAGCUGACCGCGAGCUGCUGUCUUAGCAUUUCAGCUGAACAGCAGCUUGGGUCGGAAAGGGUUUUCACUUAUACUUCCAUGUGACGGUUCAUCAUUUAAGAUGGGCAGAAACCUGAGGCAGGAACUGAAGCAGAGACCACAGAGGAGUGCUGCUUACAUACUUUCAGAUUCCAAGAGCCCCAAAGAGUCAGGACAUAAUCACAGCCAAGUCAAAGAGAAACCAAAAUUUAACAUACCUGACACUAGGGUCCCACUUAAAAUCUCCGAUCCUCAGAAGGGUCUGUGCUGCUUCUCCAGUUCCUCAGCUCGUCUUGUAGGGUUAGGCCUGCUUCACUCCACAGCUGCUGCUGACCUUGGUGGUCAUCCCAUGGUAUUGGCACCUCAAGUAACUCGGCCGCACAUUCACCAAUAAUGUCUCCUGGGCUCUCUUCAGGGACUCUGAUCUUACACCAGGCCUCAAAUUCUCUCCAUGACCUCUUCAAUCUUGGGCCUUCUACUGCAACUGAGGCUGAAUCUUCACCAAUGUCCUUUCCUGUCCUCUUACAGUACCAAGCCUCAGCGGCUUUCCAUGACCCUUUACAUGCCUUCAAAAUCAGUCCUACUCACCUGGGAAAAUAUUACACAU